UACGUAGGGUGCGAGCGUUGUCCGGAAUUAUUGGGCAUAAAGAGCUCGUAGGCGGUGUGUCACGUCGUUCGUGAAAAACCUGCAGCUUAACUGUGGGCGUGCGGUCGAUACGGGCAUCACUGGAGUUCGGCAGGGGAGACUGGAAUUCCUGGUGUAGCGGUGAAAUGCGCAGAUAUCAGGAGGAACACCGGUGGCGAAGGCGGGUCUCUGGGCCGAUACUGACGCUGAGGAGCGAAAGCGUGGGGAGCGAACAGG
rnacentral:rRNA from 1 species